GAUGAACGCUGGCGGCGGGCCUAAUACAUGCAAGUCGAGCGAACAGACGGGGAGCGUGCUCCUCUGCCGUUAGCGGCGGGCGGGUGAGUAACACGUAGAUAACCUACCUAUAAGACUGGGAUAACUUCGGGAAACCGGAUCUAAUACCGGAUCAUAUAUUGAACCGCAUGGAUCAAUAGUGCAAGAGGGUUUUGCUGACACUUAUAGAUGUUUCCGGGCCGGAUUAGUUAGUUGGUAAGGUAACGGCUUACCAAGGCAACGAUGCGUAGCCGACCUGAGAGGAUGAUCGGCCACACUGGAACUGAGACACGGUCCAGACUCCUACGGGAGGCAGCAGUAGGGAAUCUUCCGCAAUGGGCGAAAGCCUGACGGAGCAACGCCGCGUGAGUGAUGAAGGUCUUCGGAUCGUAAAACUCUGUUAUUAGGGAAGAACAAAUGUGUAAGUAACUAUGGACGUCUUGACGGUACCUAAUCAGAAAGCCACGGCUAACUACGUG
rnacentral:rRNA from 1 species